GAAAUGCGAUAAGUAAUGUGAAUUGCAGAAUUCCGUGAAUCAUCGAAUCUUUGAACGCACAUUGCGCCCUCUGGUAUUCCGGGGGGCAUGCCUGUCCGAGCGUCAUUGCGAACCCCUCAAGCACGGCUUGUGUGAUGGGCCCUCCCGCGUCUUGGUCGUCAAGACGGGCCCGAAAUGCAGUGGCGGCUUCGCGGUUAUCCGAUCUGCCAGAGCGUAUGGGGACUCUCUCUCUGUCACACGCCCGCGGCGCGGACCGACGCCUGUCGACCUUUACUCAUCUUUUCUCGGUUGACCUCGGAUCAGGUAGGGAUACCCGCUGAACUUAAGC
rnacentral:misc_RNA from 1 species